UGUGGGAGCGGGCUUGCUCGCGAAUGCGUCGGCACAUCCAACACUAUUGUUGACUGGCACACUGCUUUCGCGAGCAAGCCCGCUCCCACA
rnacentral:antisense_RNA from 2 species